rnacentral:misc_RNA from 1 species
AAUGCAGCAUAUGUAGAGCGAGCACAAGCAAUUCCCAAGUGGCAUGGUCUUCUUCCUAGAUCUGGGGAAAUGGUUAUCAACAUGGAGUGGGGUAACUUUCGGUCGUCACACCUUCCAUUGACAGAAUAUGACCAAGCCCUGGAUGUUGAGUCUCUGAACCCUGGGGAACAGAUUUUUGAGAAGAUAAUUUCUGGUAUGUAUUUAGGAGAGAUUGUACGCAGAGUUCUAUUGAAAAUGGCUCAGGAAGCUGCCUUCUUUGGUGUUGAUGUUCCACCAAAACUGGAGAUUCCAUUUAUCUUAAGGAC